rnacentral:piRNA from 1 species
UGAGAAGAGCAUCAUCCAUUAGGACGU